rnacentral:rRNA from 1 species
UACGUAGGCAGCGAGCGUUGUUCGGAAUUACUGGGCGUAAGGAGUGUGUAGGCGGUGCUCUAAGUUCGGUGUGAAAUCUCCUGGCUCAACUGGGAGGGUGCGCCGGAAACUGGAGUGCUUGAGCGUGGGAGAGGAAAGCGGAAUUCCUGGUGUAGCGGUGAAAUGCGUAGAUAUCAGGAGGAACACCUGUGGUGUAGACGGCUUUCUGGACCAUAGCUGACGCUGAGACACGAAAGCGUGGGUAGCAAACAGG